GGCUACGCUAACCUAUCCUACUCUUCUAAACUGUAAUUACUGCACAAAUGUCUCAUUUUCUAUUUCUACGUGUUAAAUACAAAAGAUGCAACACGUGGGUGUGGAGGAUUUUAAGGCAACUUUGACGGCUGACGGCUGAGUAACAGAUGCAUGACCAGCCAGUGAGGUCAGGGAGAACUCGGCACUCCUCCCCCUCCAGACACGGCUCCAUUUUACACCACCACUUCUGACGCACAAUGGAGGCUGGAGAAAAAUACACCACAGCAGAAGGUCACUUUUUAGACGGAAGGACUUCAACAAAGAGUUGUUUGGAAAAAAACACCUCAAUCAGAUGUCAUACUCGAAUCCUUGACAACCCUCCAGUAUCAGUGAAAUUGAUUGACUACACUCUACUUUGACAAAAAAUAUAUUCAUGUGUCAGAAUAUUUCCAGGGAAGAGGGUCCCGGUAAUAUUACCUUCAACACAAGAGGGCAGAGCCCUCGUUGUCCCUGCUACCUGUCCUGGGAAGCAGGAGCACUUGACUGUUUGAGAGCGUUCUUCAAUCUUGUUCUUAUUGCAGCAACGAUGAGCAGCAACCACUUCACAAGUCCCUGUCCUCUCCUGCGAUGACCCUGAAGAAGAGGAUUUGGAGGGAGAGGUGACUAUUUUUCAUACUGAGUUUUGCAUGUAAGUAGCCUUCAGCGUUUACAGGUGGCUGCAUGUCACAUAGCAACGAUUUCAUGGAUUUAUAAGAUUAUAAACAUAAAUAAAUGUAGUAGUACUUCA